rnacentral:lncRNA from 1 species
AGCCCACUAUACUUCUUAGAUUCAUGACCAGAAGAUAACAUAUAUAAUUAAAGUAGAGAUUUUUUUAGUAAAUAUUAAAUGGCUAACGCUAACAGAGGAAUGGGUUAGUUAAAAAGGAUAUGAAAAGGACCUUUGACAAGAAUGUGUUGUCACACCAUUCCAGGCUGUCUAGGAGCUCUUAAGUACGAGGUCAACAUCAACAUGGAGCA